GACUCAGCAUCCUGCUGCCCAGACAGACCCUAGCACUCUCUGGAUGGGGAUCUUCUGCUCUGAGGGAGGGUACAGCAGAAAAUUAGCCCCACAGAGUGAUUUCUGAAUACCAAGGCAAACCAUGGAUUCUGUCUGACAAAGGAGGGCUAGAGACUUGAGUGAGUUCUUCCAGCUGGGUGAGAGGGGAGUGGAAGAGAGCAAGCAGAGAGAGGAGAGUCAGACUCAGACUCGGAGCCCUUUGAAAAGGUCCUGGAACCACUCUCAGAAAGUCCCCCUGUGGGCACUCUGUCCUUCUGCCUGCCCAGGCACGGCCAGGCUGACCCGAGGCCCCGCCUGUGAGAACAGAGGCGCCACACUCCUCACAACCACAGUGGCCAUGUCUGAGGUCCCUCUUGAUCUAGAUGGUCUUUGCGUCUUCCCUCAUUCCGCCCUGACCUUUCCGCAAUGAAGAGAGGGGACAGGCAGCCCUGGGCGAGGGUGGUGAAGAGGGACAGCGAGCGCCGCAAAACAAAAGGAAAAUAAUGAAGAGAGCCUGGACCCCAGGGAUGGGCUCCUUGCAAAGUCCUGAGUUUCAUUAAAUAUAGAAAGAAAUUUGGGCAAAUGAAGACCCUCACUCCAGGAAUUCAUCAGCUUAUCCAGGUCCAGCCUGAGCAUCUGGGAACACCCAGGGCUCCUGCAGAUCAUGGAAAGAAGGCAGGCUUGUUCCUGGCCCCAAAUGAUGCACACACUUCUUCAAAGAACAAAAUGGGAUUUUACUGUACAGUCAGGCCAAUGCAAAUAAGAAGGGGAGUGAAGAGAUUCCAGGACCCUGUUUAAAAUAAUAAAGACU